UACGGAGGGGGCCAGCGUUGCUCGGAAUUAUUGGGCGUAAAGGGCGCGUAGGCGGCUUGGUAAGUUUGAUGUGAAAUCCCAUGGCUCAACCAUGGAACUGCAUCUCAUACUGCCGAGCUAGAGUCUGGGAGAGGGAAGCGGAAUUCCCGGUGUAGCGGUGAAAUGCGUAGAUAUCGGGAGGACCACCAGUGGCGAAGGCGGCUUCCUGGACCAGCACUGACGCUGAGGCGCGAAAGCUAGGGGAGCAAACAGG
rnacentral:rRNA from 1 species